rnacentral:rRNA from 1 species
CGGUCGGCGUGCCUAACACAUGUCAAGUCGUACGAGAAAGCCGGCUUCGGCUGGUGAGUAAAGUGGCGCACGGGUGAGUAACGCGUGGAUAAUCUGCCCUUAAGUGUGGAAUAACGUACCGAAAGGUGCGCUAAUACCGCAUAAUGCCUGGCAACACAAGUUGUCCGGCCAAAGAAGGCCUCUGUUUACAAGCUUUCGCUUCAGGAUGAGUCCGCGUACCAUUAGCUUGUUGGUGGGGUAAUGGCCUACCAAGGCUGCGAUGGUUAGCUGGUCUGAGAGGAUGAUCAGCCACACUGGAACUGAGACACGGUCCAGACUCCUACGGGAGGCAGCAGUGAGGAAUAUUGCGCAAUGGGGGCAACCCUGACGCAGCAACGCCGCGUGAGUGAGGAAGGUUUUCGGACUGUAAAGCUCUGUCGAGCGGGAAGAAGUGUACCAUGGCUAAUAUCCAUGAUAUUUGACGGUACCGCUAGAGGAAGCACCGGCUAACUCCGUG